GCAGGGCUGUGUGCACAGUGUUGGUCUGUGUUUAGGGGUGUAGCCAGCAUGUGUUUUGCAUGUUGGUUGCUCCCCUCACACAAAACCUGUAGCCAGAGAUUAAUUUGAGUUCAUAGUACUGGUCUAGUGAUGUCGUCUGAUGGACACUCUAUCCACUGACCAGCCUCCAAACUCUCAAACACAG